CACAUACAUGUCUUCAAGGUAAACUCAUCGUGUUCUGAGGUUAACGUGGAAUCCUGGAAUUCCUGCCGUGCUCCUCAGCAGAAUCUCAGGAUAUCCGAGCAAAAGAGAAAUGUUUUCCAGAGAAGAAGUGCAUUGGGAUGGGAGGCCAGGAAUGAGUCCCAACAUGCUUGAAAGGAAUGAAGGAUAAAUUCAUGACCAGAGUCUGACACGUCACCCUGCCACUCCCAGCACCUCCCGAAAUCCUCCACACUUCUCUACCUAUAUUCUUCAGCUAGCACUGUUGCAAUUUCACUCUUACGAACACAUGUUCAGCUAAACAAUAAAGACCGGUGUGCCAAUAUGGAGUGCUGACAUCCCUUUAACCUUGCAAUGAAAAAUUGCAUGCCAUUAAAGAGAAUUAUGCAACGAUUUUAUUCCUCCAGGUCGAAUACAAUGUGUACAAACGUGUAUAUGAUCUUUUAUCAUGACACGUGACAAAUAAAAUCGUAACAUGUGAAUCA